AUGGCCGCAACCCGACCAGGUGCACCUGCGGGCAGUCAGCGGGGGGGAGGGGGCCGAACCGGGCCCAGGGAGGGGGCAAUGGGGUCGGGGGGGAGGGGGUCAGAGGGAGCUCCAGCCCCACCCGGAGCCGCUGCCGCGCUCGCCCCGGGCCAGAGGGGCCGCGGUGCCCCGGGCGUGGGGAGGAGCCAACCGUGGGACCCCCCUCCUCCCGUCCGGCGGAGCAACCCGCCCCGGCCGGGGGGGGCUCCAGCUGUUGCACAGCUGCCUCGGCGGGCGGGGAUCGGGGAUGGGGGGUGGGGGGGGAGAGAGGAAGGGGUCAAGUUAUUAUUCGCAACAAUACCUCGGGGGGGAGGAGGCAGCGGAGGCGAGCGCGGCGGCGGCGGCGGCGGGAGGAGGCGGCGGGGGUGGGCCCACAGGCGGGGCCGGGGUCGCGGUGGAGCUCCGGCCCGCCCCGCUCCGCCCCGGCUCGGCCGCGCUCCUCCCCCGGCCCCCCACAUCCCCGCCGCCGGCCCCUUCCGCCCGCCGCCGGCGCCUUCCGUGCUCCGCUCCCCGUCUCCGGCCGGCCCCUCCCGCGGCUCCCCCAGCCCCCACCGCGCCCCUCCGAGCCCCGCCGUCCCCCUUCGGCUCUGUUUCACUCCGCCCUUCGCAUCCCUCCCUUCGGUCUUUCCAGCCCUUUUGCAUCCCCCCCCCCCCCCCCCCAUCUCAUGCCCCGUUCUCACCCCCGCUCCCCUUACCUCCCCUGCGGUGGAGGAGGUGGGCUGCGAGCCCCGAGCUCCCGGGGACACCCCCGAAACGAAAAGCGAAAGCGGCGACCGCUGCCUCCCACCCCGCCGGGCUGCUGCGCUCUGCCCGGGGCUGACGUCAAGGGCCCAAAUUCCUGCCUUUCCCUGCAGGCAGAUUUGUCCAUGUAAGGGCUGGGGCCGGGGCUGGGGCGGCAGCUCGCGGCACCUCGGGGGUGGGGGAACAGCGAUGCCGCUCCGGUCCAGACCCUGCGAGCAUCCCUCCCCCGCCCCGAAACUCGGGGGUAGGCCCUGGGGCGUCUGCACUCCCCCGGGCAGAGCUGCCGGCGUUCAACUGAUCCUAGAGGAGUUUUGUGCUGCGGUUUUGGGGCUCCUUUCCUGA
rnacentral:lncRNA from 1 species